rnacentral:lncRNA from 1 species
GGCCUUCCCCAUCCCUGGGGCUUCAAAGAUCUCAAGGAUUAAGCACAUCUCCCACUGAAGACUGACCAGACAGACCUCUGCUAUAAUUGUGCCAGUGACCUCAGACCGGUUUGUGUACACUCCUGUUUGGUAUCUGGGGUCUCCUGGAGUACACAUUCAAUACACAUCCCUGUUGUCCAAUUUAUGAAGCUACACCCAGAAGUGUCACUGAAAUGACUGUCCAAAUAUGAGGUACAAUAAUAAUGAAUGAAAAAGAAGGGAGAGAAUGAACUUGAAAGAGAC